UGGGGUAUGGCUCAGUGGUAGAGUGCUCACCUGGCACAUGUGAGGCACUAGGUUCGAUCCUCAGUACCACAU
rnacentral:tRNA from 1 species